rnacentral:rRNA from 1 species
AUUGAACGCUGGCGGCAUGCCUAACACAUGCAAGUCGAGCGGAAGCAGGGAACACCUGCCUGUUUCAUUGACGCGUCGCGGACGGGUGUGUCAUGUCUGGGACCCACCUUGAUGACGGGGGAUAAUUACUGGAACCGGUGGCUAAUACCGCAUAUCUUCUCAAGACCAAGGAUGAAGAGUGAAAGGCCGUCUUGCUGCCACUGAUCGCAGGAUCCGCUCGGCAUUAGCUAGUGGGUCAGGUAACGGCUUACCAAGGCCACGAUGCAUAGCCGACCUGAGAGGGUGAUCGGCCACACUGGAACUGAGACACGGUCCAGACUCCUACGGGAGGCAGCAGUAGGGAAUCUUCCGCAAUGGGCGAAAGCCUGACGGAGCAACGCCGCGUGAGUGAUGAAGGUCUUCGGAUCGUAAAACUCUUUUAUCAGGGAAGAACAUAUGUGUAAGUAACUGUGCACAUAUUGACGUUACCUAAUCAGAAAGCCACGGCUAACUACGUG